AGCGUUCUUUCGAAAGUGUUUGUUUGCGAUUUUCUAGUGAGAAAAUGAAGAAAGAAAGUUAUGAUAGAUGUGAUGGCGCUGAACCGGACGGUCAGCAAAAUCAGAAUUAUUGGAUUAAUAAUGAUUUCUAUGAUUUGCCCGCCAAUGAGUGUUUCUCCGCUUACAAAGGAGAUUCAUCAUUCGAGGUGAACAAACCUAAGAGAGAUUUAAAAAUUGGAGGAUUUAAACACUUUUUCAAAAAUAUAUUUUG